rnacentral:rRNA from 1 species
UACGGAGGGUGCAAGCGUUUAUCCGGAUUCACUGGGUUUAAAGGGUGCGUAGGCGGCCCCGUUAAGUCAGUGGUGAAAGCCUCCAGCUCAACUGGAGAACUGCCAUUGAUACUGGCGGGCUUGAGUACAGACGAGGUAGGCGGAAUUGAUUGUGUAGCGGUGAAAUGCAUAGAUACAAUCAAGAACACCGAUUGCGUAGGCAGCUUACUAGGCUGUAACUGACGCUGAGGCACGAAAGCGUGGGGAGCGAACAGG